UGCACUCUCCUUAGAUCCGUUUCAUUUUCAAUGUGAAACGCUUGAGUCAUAAGGGUGCUAUAAUAUAGUACCUCCAUUUUAAGACUGAUAUGUGAUUUAAUUUUUUGAUUAUCUCACUUGUCUUGAAGUGGGGAACAA